UACCAGUAGCCAACUUUUUACUGGUAAUUCAGAUAGGCCUAUUGCGUAAUCAUCUCUGGAUCAGGAUUGUCACUUGCUUCAUUGUAAGUAAAUGGGAAGAAAAUGUGUGCACAUUGUAAAGAGAUGCAUUAUUCUUUGGUGAGCAACACGCCACUUACUACAACGUUAUGUAUUUUUCAGAGUUAUUGUUAGCUAGGAGGAAGACAUGGAGGGUUCAACGCUGACACAGAGGAGGGCUGAGUGUCAGUUGAAGGAAAGGGAGAUCCAGACAGACUACAUGAUGGAGCUGGGAGACAGGUUGGCUCUGGUGAGACAGAUCCAGAGGGAGCAGGAGAAGGAGAUGAAGAGGAUUUGGUUUGAGACGAGGAAAAUGCCAAGCCUGAUUGAGGAGAAUGUGAGAGAUGUGACCAACCGUCCACUCACUGAGUUCAUGGCUCCCUGUAUUGACUCCCUCCCACCGCUGGCUAUCACCAAUCGGAGGCCUAUACCAACCAUGUUACAUCCCCCCUCUCCAUUGGCCAUACGCGCUCAGGAUGCACAGCGGUUCAUUGUAUUUUCAUACUUUGUCCCUGCUGAGUGCCCAGUUGCCACAGAGGCCACAGCAGAUGUAUCUACUGGUAAAAGAGAGGACUUAUUGACAGAUACACAUCUUUCCUCAAUGCUGCAUCGAUACCUGCCACACUUCUUCAACGAUGACUCCAUUCCACCACAGCAGACAGUAGAGGGAACCACUGAGCUCUCAGUUCCAGUGGCAAUAUCUAAUAUAAAGGAAGAGGACAGAUUCUAUCCUUUCUCCCUCCCACCACUGGCUCAGCGGUUCGUUGGCAAUUCAUUCAUUGUCCCGGAAACCUCCCAGCCUGCUGUUUCAGCCACAGAGUGCCAAGUUGCCAAAGAGGCCACUGCAGACACAGCCACUGUCAAGAGAGAGAACCGAUGGGCAGCCAGAAGUCUUCCUUCAGUGCUUCCUCCAUGCCUGCCACCAGUCUUUGACGAUGACUUCAUGCCUCCAGAGCAGACAGUCGAGGAUGCCUAUGAGGUCUCAGGUGCUACAGAGAACACUUCAGGCACAGCUACUGUUGCCAUUUACACUUGGGAAGAUAAAAGUCCUUCAGUUCUGCCAUGCAUCCACAACAACAAUGACCACCAACUGCCAGAGGAGACAGUUGAGGACAACACAGAGUGCUCAGUUGACACCGAGGCAAGUGCAGUUGCACCCACUGUCAAGAGAGAGGAACUGACAGGUGAUAAAAGCCCUGUCCGAGCAAUUCCUCCAAUCCUGGGAUGCAUCCAUGACAAGGACCACAAGGAGCCAGAGCAGAAAGUGAAGGGCCCUAGUGAAGAGGUGGAUCUCUGCCCUCACACUCACCAGCUGGACCCAGAUGUUAACUUAACUCUGGCAACCCACAAUGAUGAACCCAGGACCUGGACCCUGGAAGAGGCAAAGGUAGGUGUCCUAUUUCACACUACUAUUUUAUAGGGAUGGGGGUCAGUUCCAUUUCAAUUCAAAGCAUUGAAGAGAAUUGGAAUUUUAGAGUUCUUCUGAAUUGACUGGAAUUGACCCCAACCUCUUUGCUCAUAGUAUGAAACAUCACCCCUCACUAGAGUUAACAUUUGUAUUACUUUUAUUAUGGACCCAGGAAGAACAUCUAUGGGUAUUGUAAAAUAUAAUGGGGAUACAAAAAAACAAAGGACCUUUAUUACUGUCCUCCAAAUUGUGUGCCCCAUGAGGUCAUCAUUGUUUGUCGAUCACUCAAAUGUGUAUUGAAUGUGACACAUUGGAACAAUAUUACAUCUAGAGUCAAUGUCUUCCUGUCAGGAUUAUUGGAUAGGCAUUGAGAGUGAAGAGAGGAACGUCAAGGAGGAGGUGAGACAGAGGGAGGGAUUGAAGCGUGAGGUGGACUGUGCCCAUUCCAAGAGCUCCAAUGGGAUGGUUUCAGCAGAGAGAGCAGAGACCAUCCUUGGAAGAGUGGGCUUUCUGGUCAUGAACCACAUGCAGAAAAUCCCAUUUUUGAAGAUGAAGGAAAAAGAGAAAAAUAAGAAACUGCAUAAGAAGUUGAAAGAUGACGAGAAAGAGAGAAAGGAGAAGAAAAACAAGGAGGAGGAGAACAAAAAGAGGGAGAAGAAAGAGAUGAAUGAGAGAGAGAAAGAGCAGAAGAAAGUCAUGAAGGCUGAGAAAAAGAGGGAGAAGUUAGAACAGAAAAAGAGAGAGAAGGAAAGAAAAGAGAAGGAAAAGGCAGAGAAAAAGAGGUUAGAGGGGCUGAUGAAGAUACAUAAUGACAUGAUGAAAGACAGGAUUAAGAAAGAGAAGAAGUGUUCUGAGGAGCUGAAAAAGAGAGAGAAAGCUCAAGCUGAGUUCUUGGAGAUGGAGAGAAAGAUUCAAGAAAAGGAGGAGAAGAAGAGAGAAAAGAUGAGGAAAGAGGAGAGGAAGAGACUAGAGAAGAAGAAAAAGAGGGAGCCAGCUGGAGGUGGAACUGAGAGGGUGAUAGAAGAGCAGGGAAAGGAUGAAAGCUUGAAGAUGGAUGAGUAGACUGGAUAUUAGAGAGAGAGAGCAGGGCGGGAUACUGUAUUUUUGCCUGCAAUGAAAAAUGCAAUAAAUAAAAUCUAAAAAAGAUUUACUCUCUGUUUGAUUUUUGUCAAGGCAUACUGUAUAACACAGUAUAAACACACAAUGUUUACAUUUCACAAAUCUGGGGAUUUUUGCACUGUUAAAAUGUGGAAUUCCAAAUCUACCCGAUGGAGCGGAGCUAUUCUGAGAUGAGGAGGACGGAAAGGCAGGGGGAGUAGAUGGAGGGUAGAGCGGAGUUUGUUAGAGAGGAAAUUGAUAGAGAUGAAUAUGACAGAGAGGAAUAUGAUAGAGAGGAAUAUGAUAGAGUGGAAUAUGAUAGAGGGGAAAAUUAUAGAGAGGAAUAUGACAGAGAGGAAUAUGAUAGAGAGGAAUAUGAUAGAGGGGAAAAUGAUAGAGAGGAAUUUUAUAGAUGGGAAUAUGACAGAGAGGAAUAUGAUAGAGAGGAAUAUGAUAGAGGGGAAAAUGAUAGAGAGGAAUUUUAUAGAUGGGAAUAUGAUAGAGAGGAAUAUGAUAGAGAGGAAUAUGAUAGAGGGGAAAAUGAUAGAGAGGAAUUUUAUAGAUGGGAAUAUGAUAGAGAGGAAUAUGAUAGAGAGGAAUAUGAUAGAGGGGAAUACGAUGGAGAGGAAUAUGAUAUAGAAGAAUGUAAUAAGAGGAAUAUGAUAUAGAGGAAUGUAAUAAGAGGGGAAUAUGAUAGAGGGAAUAUGAAUGAGGCACAUCAUAGAGGGAAAUAUGACAAAGGGAGUAUGAAAUAGAGGAAUAUGAUAGAGGAUUACAAUAGAGAGGAAUAUGACAGAGGAAUAUGAGGGGAAUAUUAUAGAGGGGAAUAUGAUAUAGAGUCAUAUGAUAGAGGGAAUAUGAUAGAGUGGAAUAUGACAGAGGGAAUAUGAUAGAGUGAAUAUGAUAGAGAGGAAUAUGAAAGAGAGGAUUAUGAUAGAAGGGAAUAUGAUAAAGGGGAAUAUGAUAGAGGGGAAUAUGAUAGAGGGAAAACGAUAGAGGGGAAUAUGAUUAAGGGAAUAUGAUAGAGGGGAAUAUAAUCGAAUGGAAUAUGAUAGAGGGGAAUAUGAUAGAGGGUAAUAUGAUAUAUAAUAAAUAUGAUAUAUAAUAAAUAUGAUAGAGGGGAAUAUGAUAUAUAAUAAAUAUGAUAUAUAAUAAAUAUGAUAUAUAAUAAAUAUGAUAGAGGGGAAUAUGAUAUAUAAUAAAUAUGAUAUAUAAUAGAUCUGAUAGAGGGGAAUAUGAUAGAGGGUAAUAUGAUAUAUAAUAAAUAUGAUAUAUAAUAGAUCUGAUAGAGGGGAAUAUGAUAUUUAAGGAAUAUGAUAGACAGGAAUAUGAUAGAGAGGGAAAUGAUAGAGGGAAUAUGAUAGAGAGGAAUAUGAAUGAGAGGAAUAUGAUCAAGGGGAAUAUGAUAGAGGGAAUAUGAUAGAGAGGAAUAUGAUAUAGGUGAAUAUGAUAGAGAGGAAUAUGAAUGAGAGAAAUAUGAUAUAGGGGAAUAUGAUAGAGGGGAAUAUGAUGGAGGGAAAAUGAUAGAGAGGAUUAUGAUAGGGGGGAAUAUGAUAGAGGGAAAAUGAUAGAGGGGAAUAUGUGUCACUCCUGCUCACGUCUGUCGUUACCUUCCCCAUAUCUGUAGGGUUCCCCUCUCUGUUCCCUGUUUCUGCAUUGAAAGUCAUCUGUCCUUGUUUACCAGUGUGCUGAAGCUGUUCCUGUCUUGUUCUAUGUCUGUUCCCCAUUUAAAUGUGUGUUAUUAGGUGUGUUCGUGCUCUGGACCUGGUACCCUGUGUUUUGGGUUGGUCCAUAUUUUUCCGCGCCCUGUGUUGUGGGCAUUACUUUUGGUCCCAAAUUAAAGUGCACUUCUUCCUGUGGAACUCUCUGCUCUCUGCGCCUGAUUCUUCCUCACACACCUAGUCCCUCAUGACAGAGAGGAAUAUGAUAGAGGGGAUUAUGAUGUAUAGUAAAAAUGAUAGAGGGUAAUAUGAAGGAAGGAAUUUAAUAGAGCAGUAAAUCAAAGAGAGGAAUAUGAUAGAGGGGGAAAUGAUAGAGAGGAAUGUGAUCGAGUUUAAUAUGAUAUUUAAUGAACAUGAUAGAGGCAGGGGCUGAGUCACUUGGUCACCCUAUUACUGGGUCACUGGGUCACCCUACUGAGUCACCCUAUUACAGGGGCUGAGUCACUGGCUUACUGGGGCUCUUUCAUACCGUCCCUGGGAGGGGUGCGUCACCUGAGUGGGUUGAGUCACUGAUGUGAUCUUCCUGUCUGGGUUGGCCGUGGCGGAGAUUUUUGUGGGCUAUACUCGGCCUUGUCUCAGGAUGGUAAGUUGGUGGUUGAAGAUAUGGGGGGGGCUGUGCUUUGGCAAAGUGGGUGGGGUUAUAUCCCUCCUGUUUGGCCCUGUCCGGGGGUGUCCUCGGAUGGGGCCACAGUCUCUCCUGACACCUCCUGUCUCAGCCUCCAGUAUUUAUGCUGCAGUAGUUUAUGUGUCGGGGAGCUAGGGUCAGUUUGUUAUAUCUGGAGUACUUCUCCUGUCCUAUUCGGUGUCCUGUGUGAAUUUAAGUCUGCUCUCUCUAAUUCUCUCUUUCUCUCUUUCUUUCUCUCUCUCGGAGGACCUGAGCCCUAGGACCAUGCCUCAAGACUACCUGACAUGAUGACGCCUUGCUGUCCCCAGUCCACCUGGCUGUGCUGCUGCUCCAGUUUCAACUGUUCUGCCUUAUUAUUAUUGGACCAUGCUGGUCAUUUAUGAACAUUUGAACAUCUUGGCCAUGUUCUGUUAUAAUCUCCACCCGGCACAGCCAGAAGAGGACUGGCCACCCCACAUAGCCUGGUUCCUCUCUAGGUUUCUUCCUAGGUUUUGGCCUUUCUAGGGAGUUUUUCCUAGCCACCGUGCUUCUACACCUGCUUCUACACCUGCAUUGCUUGCUGUUUGGGGUUUUAGGCUGGGUUUCUGUACAGCACUUUGAGAUAUCAGCUGAUGUACGAAGGGCUAUAUAAAUACAUUUGAUUUGACUUGAUUUGAUUAUGAUCGAGGGAAAAUGUUGGAGAGGAAUAUGAUAGAGAGGAAUUUGAUAGAGGGGAAUAUGUGUCACUCCUGCUACCUAUCUUCCCCCCCGUCUGUCGAGGGCGCCAAGCUCCCCAGCAUUGAUCGCUUCUGUCAUCAUCAUUACGCACACCUGCCUUCCCCCAUCUUGCGGGUCAGCAAUUAUUGUUCUCACCUGGACUCAAUCACCUCUGUCGUUACCUUCCACACUUCUGUAUCUGAUGGAUUCUCCUCUCUGUUCCCUGUUUCUGCAUUGAAAGUCAUCUGUCCUUGUUUACCAGUGUGCUGAAGCUGUUCCUGUCUUGUUCUAUGUCUGUUCACAAUUAAAUAUUUGACUCCCCGUA
ensembl:lncRNA